UACGGAGGGUGCGAGCGUUGUUCGGAUUCAUUGGGCGUAAAGCGAGUGUAGGCGGUUUGACAAGUCGGAUGUGAAAUCCCGGGGCCCAACCCCGGAACUGCAUCCGAUACUGUCUGGCUAGAGUCCCGGAGAGGGUGGCGGAAUUCCCGGUGUAGGGGUGAAAUCCGUAGAUAUCGGGAGGAACACCAGUGGCGAAGGCGGCCACCUGGACGGUGACUGACGCUGAGACUCGAAAGCGUGGGUAGCAAACAGGAUUAGAACCUCCGAGU
rnacentral:rRNA from 1 species